CGGUAUACCAGCUCUCCGAGUGGUAGGGACGAUUAUUGGGCUUAAAGCGUUCGUAGCCGGCUUAACAAGUCUUCCGUUAAAUCCAACGAUCUAAUCGUUGGGCUGCGGGAGAUACUGUUGGGCUAGGAGGCGGGAGAAGCCGACGGUAUUCUCGGGGUAGGGGUGAAAUCCUGUAAUCCCGGGAGGACCACCAGUGGCGAAGGCGGUCGGCUAGAACGCGCUCGACGGUGAGGGACGAAAGCUGGGGGAGCGAACCGGAUUAGAAACCCGGGUAGUCCCAGCUGUAAACGAUGCGGGCUAGGUGUUGGGGUGGCCACGAGCCACUUCAGUGCCGCAUGGAAGCCAUUAAGCCCGCCGCCUGGGGAGUACGGCCGCAAGGCUGAAACUUAAAGGAAUUGGCG
rnacentral:rRNA from 1 species